UCCUUUUGCUGGUCGUUCAGACGUUGACUGUGACGCUUGGAGUUCUGGAGGGUUGGGCGGAGAGGGGACUCAGGGAGAGGCGAUUUGCAUUUCGAUCUGCUCGCCGGCGUUCGGACUACGUCGAGCCUCCCCUUGCCCUGCUCAGCUGGUCGCUGCACCUGCGCCCGGCGGCCGCCGGCACAGGUCCGCUCCACCUCCCACGGCGCCGCCGCUCGCGCCAGCGCCGGCCUCCUCUUCUGCAGUGUCUCGAUGGACGCAACGAACCUGGACAGCGCGUCCUCUGCGGGCGAGGAGGCUCGGGAAACGGCGGCACGGCGAGGAUGAGAAGGAGUACGGAGCUGGCGUUGUGGGAGCGCGCAGAGGAGGCCGCGGAAGAUGUUGAAGCCGCUGAGCCUGUCUUCGGCGACACGGAGCAGCAGCCGCUCGUCCAGCUGCAACGAUUGCGGCGCGAUUUGCGACUCGGACAUCGCCCGGUUCUCCUAUGCCGCGGCCAUGGCUUCCCUCCUCGAAGCAGAGAUUUCCCUCAUCACCUGUGAGUUGCCGGUGCGCCAUGUUUUAGGUGGCUUCCUCUUGCUUUUGGGGCUCAUUUCACUGGCGAUGUUUUGGUUGCACGGAUGGGCGUUUGUUCUGUUGGUGUGCUCGUUAUUUGUGAUGCGAUGCUUGCUGUAGUUUCUAGUUCGGUAAGCUUUCUGGGCUCAUUCCCGCUGCGACUAAUUGGUGAUUGACCCUAAUAAGAUUCAGUGGUUUCUGCUGUUGUUUCUGAUGUAGGCAUUCAGACCUAGCUGAACCAUAUCUGAACGCCGUCUAACUGUAGUAGCGAUUCAGAGUAUUCAGUCCAUUCAGCUAAUGUAUUAUGGUUUGAUGAUGUGUUGUGGUUCUGUUCCUGUAUAUGAUUUUGGCUGUGCCCACUGAAAAUAAUUUAACUCUUGUACUUUUGGAACUAAUACAUUAACUGAAUAGUCAUCAUAAUUUCAUUUCAUGUAUCAUGGUUCUAUUCCUGGAUAUGCAAAAUUUCAUUUCAUGGCCAUCUUCUGUUUCUAUGUCUUGGCCAAUAUAAUUGUCAAUUUGUUGUCUAUUGGUAACCAUGAGUGUCAAUUCUGUCGCUUCUAAAUCAGUUUUGCUAUCCGUUUGCUACAUAGGUUCCUUUUUGUAAUAAAGUGACAUGUAUCCAACACAUGUAAGAUUAUUUCUGCAUCUGCAUCUUUCUUUUUGUUACUUUACUCAUUUGUCUGAAGCUGAUGGAGCCGAUGGAUCUGCCCAAGUUCUGGGCAACGUGUGACAACUUUAGGUCUUUUGGCCAUACAAAAGUUUUGGAAAUCUGAAUGUUUGAUGAACUUAAAACAAACUAUCUAUAUUUCUUGUUGCUGAAGGUUAUGAGUUAUAUGGCUACUUUGAACUUAUGAGAUAUUUUUUAUCUUUUUGUUAUUGUUUACAGGAACCGAAACAAUCAGAACCAGAGCUAGGUUCGAAAUGAGAAGGUAUAAACGCAGUUUCUUGGGUUUUUUCACUCAAAUUGCACUACCUUUUUAAGUUAAUUGCAUGAAGUUUUACUAUUGCAAUCUUAGUUUUUUUCACUACUACCUUUUUAAGUUAAUUGCAUGAGGUUUUACUAUCGUAGUUUUUUUAGAAGUGCAAUUGCAGUGUAUUUAUUUUGAAAUUGCAUCCUAGUUAUUUCUGUUUUUGCACCUUUAGCUGUGCAAUUGUAACCUUUCAAAAUUAGUUGCAUAUAGUUUUACUAUUGCAAUCUCAAUUCUUUAUAAAUGCAAUUGCAAUGGUUUUUUUUUGGAGGACAUACAAUGGCUACUCAUAGAUACUAUAUCUUUUUAUGUAAAAAAAUUGCGAUGAACAAAUUGCACUAUUGAAUCUAAUUAUUUGCACUGCUUUAUCGGUGUAAUCCCAAUGCUAUCAAUGUGCAAUUGCAGGUUUCCCUAUGAGGAUGGAAACUUGGUACUUCUAAGUUUUGGAUGUUUGUCAAUAGUUGCCAAUUUGAUUACUACUUUUUUGGAUUUUUGUUACUACUAUUAGAGCCAAAACAUCAUAUGCGAUUAUGGCAAUAGUUGGGAGAGCUGGAUGCUGAUAGUCUGGAGCAUGAGACAUUAAAAGAUCCAUGAUAACUUGUGUCUUAUCACAAGUUUUCACAAAUGUUUUCUUUUCAAAGAUGCAUGCCUGAAAUCUGCUUGUUUCUGGUUCUGAAUUCUUGUUUAAUUCUGUUUUUUUAGAAAUGUUUAGUUCUCCUUGUUUCUGGUGCUUGUGUUGUGGUGUUUUAGUGUCAUGUUUGCUCCUUGAUAUGCAGAAUAGCUAUGUUGUCCUGCAGAUGUUCAAAGGUACAUUAUUGCCUAACCAUUAUAUUGAAAGGUCUCUAGUUUGAACAGCUCUAUUAUGCAGAUGCUGAAACCCUGUGCAUGGUGCAUUGGUGCAUUUAUGAUUCCCAAUACAAGUAAAAAGUGUGUUGCAGUUUUGGGGAAAACAUCUGUGCAAGCCCAUGUCAAUGCUUCUUUUUUCGUUUCUUUUUGUCUAAAUACGCUCGUCUAUUCUUUUGUCCGAAAGAGACACAUGGAGAAAGCUCGCGAGGGGGAAGAGACGCAGGGAAGAAAUGAAGGAUUCCAGGCGCUUCGCGGUAGGGGGCGGCGACUUCCCAUCGGUUCGGCGUGGUGGUUCAUUCGUUGGGGGUGGCAUAGCACUAGUGAAGAGGAAGUGUCGCCCACGCAAGAAGCGCCACUGCGUCACCCGUUUUUAGGUGAUCAAGCAAUUGCAAAAUCAUUUCUGCUGCCAAUACAUAUACACCCGCAUGUAUGCCUCAACAGUUUCACAUUUUUCUGGUUAUCUGUAGUUAAGGGAGUUGAUGUUUUCUCUGAUGUAUAAAUGACACUAGUCUAAAGUGCAAUCCCGGUUUACAAAUGCAAUUGCAGUGGGUUUAAUUGGAAUUGCAUGCCCAGCUAGUAUUUUUUCUUUUUUGCACCUGUAGCUUUUUCUGACGUGCAAUUGCAGUAUUUCGUAGUGCAAUUUUGCAUGUUGUUCCAAA